rnacentral:rRNA from 1 species
AUACGUAGGGUGCGAGCGUUGUCCGGAAUUACUGGGCGUAAAGCGCUCGUAGGUGGUUUGUCGCGUCGUCUGUGAAAUUCCGGGGCUUCACUCCGGGCGUGCAGGCGAUACGGGCAUACCUUGGGUCCUGUGGGGGAGACUGGAAUUCCUGGGGUAGGGGUGAAAUGCGCAGAUAUCAGGAGGAACACCGGUGGCGAAGGCGGGUCUCUGGGCAGUAACUGACGCUGAGGAGCGAAAGCAUGGGUAGCGAACAGGAUUAGAUACCCUGGUAGUCCAUGCCGUAAACGGUGGGCGCUAGGUGUAGGAGGCUUCCACGCCUUCUGUGCCGCAGCUAACGCAUUAAGCGCCCCGCCUGGGGAGUACGGCCGCAAGGCUAAAACUCAAAGGAAUUGACGGGG